ACUGGGGGAUCAGCUCAUAGCGUAUAUUAAAGUUGUUGCAGUUAAAAAGCUCGUAGUUGAACUUCAGACCUGACCGGGCGGUCCGCCUAACGGUGUGUACUGUCUGGCCGGGCCUUACCUCUUGGUGAGCCGGCAUGCCCUUCACUGGGUGUGUCGGGGAACCAGGACCUUUACCUUGAGAAAAUUAGAGUGUUUAAAGCAGGCAAU
rnacentral:rRNA from 1 species